rnacentral:rRNA from 1 species
GUCCUAGCCGUAAACGAUGGACACUAGGUGUCGGCUCCAUUAGGGGUCGGUGCCGCAGCUAACGCGUUAAGUGUCCCACCUGAGGAGUACGGCCGCAAGGUUGAAACUCAAAGGAAUUGACGGGGGCCAGCACAAGCGGUGGAACAUGUGGUUCAAUUCGAUGCUACGCGAAGAACCUUACCUAGGCUUGACAUGCAAGAAGUAGGAACCUGAAAGGGGGACGACUCGUAACCAGUCGAGAGCUUGCACAGGUGCUGCAUGGCUGUCGU